GACGAACGCUGGCGGCGUGCUUAACACAUGCAAGUCGAACGGAAAGGCCCUGCUUUUGUGGGGUGCUCGAGUGGCGACCGGGUGAGUAACACGUGAGUACCCUGCCCUUGACUGUGGGAGAACUUCAGGAAACUGGGGCUAAUACCGGAUAGGAGCUACUGCUGCAGGGUGGGGGUGGGAUAGUUUCGGCGGUUGGGGGUGGACUAGCGGCUUAUCAGCUUGUUGGUUUGGUAGUGGCUUAGCAAGGCUUGGACAGGUAGCCGGGCUGGUCGGGUGACCGGCUCCGUUGCGACUGGGCUACGACACAGCCUCGUCUGCUACGCAGCGGUGGGGUAGAUUGUAUUAUGCGCUGAAGCCUGAUGCAGCAACGCCGCGCGGGGGAUGACGGGCUGCGGUUUGUAUUGCGCUGCCGCCUUUGACGAAGUGUUAGUGACGGUACCGGGUAAAUAAGCUCCGGCUAACUACGUG
rnacentral:rRNA from 1 species